AGAACUAGGAGUAGGAAGAGUAGAGGCCAAAAUAUAUUUGUGAUGGAACUUUUCUUUCUGAAGACAUGCUAUAAAACAAGAAGCAUCAUUGGAAUUCUUUCUGACCGAGUAAAUUAUAGGCUUUCAAGCUGAGACAGAACCUGUCAAUUUAUCAGCUGAAACUGCAAUCCAUAUGGAAGAUGGAAAGACCCUUGAGGAUUUUGAGUAAAAGUCAUCUUCUCAUAAGUUAUCCUGACAUAUUUUACGCUGAAGAAUACACACAUCCAUCUUUGCCUUCAUGCACCUGGAAUCUAUCCAUGCAGAGCAGAUUAUACAGUUUAAGAAUAACUUAUCAGACUAUGAUUCAGCAUUGCUGCAGCUAUAAAAGAGGCAACCUGACCCUGCCCACCUGUGAAUGGGUGCAGA